UACGUAGGGUGCAAGCGUUGUCCGGAAUUAUUGGGCGUAAAGAGCUCGUAGGCGGUUCGUCGCGUCGGCUGUGAAAACCCGGAGCUCAACUCCGGGCCUGCAGUCGAUACGGGCGGACUUGAGUGUUGCAGGGGAGACUGGAAUUCCUGGUGUAGCGGUGAAAUGCGCAGAUAUCAGGAGGAACACCGGUGGCGAAGGCGGGUCUCUGGGCAACUACUGACGCUGAGGAGCGAAAGCCAGGGGAGCAAACGGG
rnacentral:rRNA from 1 species